rnacentral:rRNA from 1 species
UACGGAGGGUGCAAGCGUUAUCCGGAUUCACUGGGUUUAAAGGGUGCGUAGGUGGGUUGGUAAGUCAGUGGUGAAAUCCCCGAGCUUAACUUGGGAACUGCCAUUGAUACUAUCAGUCUUGAAUAUCGUGGAGGUUAGCGGAAUAUGUCAUGUAGCGGUGAAAUGCUUAGAUAUGACAUAGAACACCAAUUGCGAAGGCAGCUGGCUACACGAAUAUUGACACUGAGGCACGAAAGCGUGGGGAUCAAACAGG